CCUAUCAGUCUUGUUGUUAAUUUUUUUAUUGAUUAAUCAGCAGUAUUUAUUUUCUAAAAUGUUCAAAUCUGAAUCAUGUCACCUCAAAGAAAUCUUUAAUACAUUUUCUCAGACUUUGCCAUAAGAAACUAUGUUCAUGAGCAACAUUUGUGUUAUAUCUGUGGGAAUAUUGCUGCAGGCAGCUUCCAGAUUGUGUGCACCCAGCACACUCCCAAUCAAUCCUUAUAUCCACAGCAGAACAAGCAUACAUGCCAUACAGUUCAGAGAGCAAAAAUGGAUGGCUUGAUAUUUAGUUGUUAACGAUCAGCAAACAUCAAAAAUGUAGCACAAGGCAGACGGGAGGGAGAGGGAGAGGGAGAGGCAGAGAGGGGGGCAUGAUGUCUGUCUGUCUGUCUAACAGCACACAACUGAUUGGUUAUUAGCAUGGAGAGGCCAAAGAAAUGGCUUUUGGUAAUUGCAGCUUUAAUUCCUUACAUAGAAUAACAAUACAUAGCGGUAGCAGAAUAAAGAUGGAAACAGUAUACUAGGAGCCUUCCUCUAUUCCACACCAUUAAAGAAACAAUUUGGUGGACAAGCUGAAUGUAUCCAACAAUAUUCACGAUGACAAUAAUGAAUCAUCUUAUCUUGUCAUCUGGAAGUAUAUCUAUUUCCUUUCUUAAAGCAAUAUCUUGGUUCUGCUCUCAUCUCUUUCUCAUUCCCUUCCAUCUGUUCUUUUUCUCUCAGCAUGGAGAAAUAAACUGACAUUUUCCCAGAUGAUUAGUUUAUUAGAUGGCUAAAAAGUAUUUUGACUUUAAGCCAUGUAUAAAUCACAAAAUCAGAAAGGAUCAAACAGUAGCAUUAAGAGCAGGAUAAUUCCUGUAUUUCAUAGCGUAUUUUACUGCAAGUUGUCACAUAACAUAACAUUUAAGCUGAAUAAUGCAACCAGUUUGCUCAACCAAGAAAGCCCAAAUGUGUAAAUUAGGAUCUUCAGCAAAAUUGGUCUUAAUAUAAACAGACUGUACAUGUUUGUAAGGCACAUCUGCAGGGACCAUUUAUUUAUGUGAAUAUCGGAAAUGUUAGAUGACUAAUGAUGGAAAAAUUGUCUCUAUAUAAAAUUUUGCUAAAACCUAAAUAUAUACCAAGAGACAUCCCAUCUAUAUAUGACAUCCCAUAAAAUGUUAUUCUAGCAUAAACAUGUGUAUCUCUUUCCUAACCUUUAUUACAGUAUGUUUCUACUACAAAACUAAAGAGCAGAGUGCUGAAAAGAUAUAAAGAGUGCAUGAAAGAGAGUACAUAGUGAAGGUAAAAACAAUUGGCAACUAUCAAUAGUUCUGAUUUAUGUCCCUGCUUCUUCUCUACAAUUACAGUGUAUGCAACAUACAACAGAUUCUUUUGCACUGAAGCAAACCCUGCCUGGGCCAGAAUUUCUCCAACACACAUUGAGAAGAAAGAAGAGAAAUACAGGCCUUUUCUUUCUCGUCAUCUGGAAACCCUUCCUUCCACAAACAGGAAACCAGGGUAUUCUCAUUUGGGGAAUGAAAUCUUUGUCCUGCUGAAAUUGUGAACUCUCCCAUGCUUUAAGCACUGUUUCUCAGCCUCUGCAAUUCUUAGGAUAUGUGGACUUCCAUUCCCAGAAUUCUCCUGCCAGACUGCACAACAUAAAAUUGCUGGGUUUUUUAAACUCUGUCUUACAGAAUGACGUAAAGAGCUCUUUGAUCGGUUGGUGGAUAGAAGAAUAGGCAGUGAAAGUUCCUUUUAGAGACAGUCCCAUAGCCCAUAAAAUGACUUGAAAAUAUAUCUUCCCCAGCCUGCCUAUUGGUACCAGGUUGAGGAAUGUUAUAUUUUUUCAUUUGCUCUAUGAUUAUGAUUGCUUAAAAUACUUAAAAUAGUUGGUGGAGGAACAAAAUGCAGAUUUGUUGAAAAAUAUGUGUUAGUACUGUUUUUUAGAAGUCCAGUUUUUCACAAGGGAAUUUGGUGAUUUUCUUAUUACUGGUAUCUGGAAAAACAUUUUCAUAUUGUUCAAGUAUAGCCGUCUAAUCUGGUUUCCCACAUCUGCUUCUGUCUGACAUUUCUGAUGAAACUCGGGCAGCCUAUCUCAAAACAACAGGCUCAUCCCGCCCCCUGCCUCCUUCCACAACCCUACAUCUGCCACUUACUCACACUCCACUGCAAAGUAAAACAAUAGUUUCCUUUCCUCGUUGACUAAUCUAGCGUUCCUGACUGCUGCCUAUGGCUGUGGUGUUUGAUAAAGGAAUACAUCAAGAUACACUUGCAUUCUCCUUCCAACGAAGGUUUAUUUUCCUUCCGUUCAAUCAUGUCCAAUUUUCAGAGACUGCUUGGACGUGGUGUCAAAUGAGAUAGGGACAUGUUCACCUUGACAGCAGACCAGCACUAACUGCAGGGAAGGUGAAUGCAAAGAAGAUGGA